CUAGGUUCCACAUACGCCUCUCAUUAGGCCAGUGGCUGAAGAAAUUGGACGAGUCUGUAACAUUCAGGAAGGACGCUGUCUCUUCAGGGCUGAAGGGUUCAGGGCGGAAUUGAAAUCAGAGCCACUUUCCUUAACACGAUGAGCAAACGUUUGAUGUUCGGCCUUCUCUUUUUCACUCUAUAUCGAGGUGCGGUGCUGGGUGACUCGAUCCAGCCCAGGGAACCCCAGAUGUCAGGAGCUGAAGACGGCUCAGUGACCCUCAGCUGUUCUUAUGAAACCAGCUCCCCUUCUAGUGUCUAUCUCUACUGGUACCGUCAGUACCCGAACCGAGCCCCGCAGUACAUCCUCCGGAGAGGAGCAAAAGGAAGCACGUUCAUUGAUACUGCAGGUUUCGCCCAGGAGAGGUUUUCUUCCCAGACUGAUGACAGCUCCACAGUUCUGAACAUCACAGCCCUGGAGCUGGCGGACACAGCGGUGUAUCACUGCGCCCUGCAGCGGGCACAGUGACAGAGCCUCGCAGCAGAACUGCACAAAAACCCUCCCCUUCCCUUCA